rnacentral:rRNA from 1 species
CCUACGGGAGGCAGCCGUAGGUAAUUUUCGGCAAUGGGGGGAACCCUGACCGAGCAACGCCGCGUGAACGAAGAAGUUAUUCGUAAUGUAAAGUUCUUUUAACAGGGAAGCACGAGAACUUUGACGGUACCUCAAGAAUAAGCUCCGGCUAACUACGUGCCAGCAGCCGCGGUCAUACGUAGGGAGCGAGCGUUAUCGGGAAUUAUUGGGCGUAAAGGGUGCGUAGAUGGCAUAGUAAGUCUUUUGUAAAAAUGCUGGGCUAAACCCAGUAGGGCAAAAGAUACUGCAAAGCUAGAGUAUGACAGAGGCAAGUGGAACUACAUGUGUAGCGGUAAAAUGCGUAAAUAUAUGUAAGAACACCAGUGGCGAAGGCGGCUUGCUGGGUCGAUACUGACAUUGAGGCACGAAAGCGUGGGGAGCAAACAGGAUUAGAUACCCUAGUAGUC